UAGGCCUGAGAGAUUUUUUCUUUCCCGUCUCCAGAUUUGCACUCUGGGAAAAUCAAGCCU
rnacentral:tRNA from 1 species